rnacentral:rRNA from 1 species
YUUAUAAAAGGCGGCGUAAGCUGUCGCUAUGGGAUGGCCCCGCGGUGCAUUAGCUAGUUGGUAAGGUAAAGGCUUACCAAGGCGAUGAUGCAUAGCCGAGUUGAGAGACUGAUCGGCCACAUUGGGACUGAGACACGGCCCAAACUCCUACGGGAGGCAGCAGUAGGGAAUCUUCCACAAUGGACGCAAGUCUGAUGGAGCAACGCCGCGUGAGUGAAGAAGGUUUUCGGAUCGUAAAGCUCUGUUGUUGGUGAAGAAGGAUAGAG